rnacentral:rRNA from 1 species
UACGUAGGGCGCAAGCGUUGUCCGGAAUUAUUGGGCGUAAAGAGCUCGUAGGCGGCUUGUCACGUCGGGUGUGAAAGCCCGGGGCUUAACCCCGGGUCGGCAGUGGAUACGGGCAGGCUAGAGGUAGGUAGGGGAGAAUGGAAUUCCCGGUGUAGCGGUGAAAUGCGCAGAUAUCAGGAGGAACACCUAUUGCGAAGGCAGCUCGCUGGGACGUAACUGACGCUGAGACGCGAAAGCGUGGGGAGCAAACAGG